AAGAAAUCAACCGAGAUUCCCAAAGUAGUGGCGAGCGAAAUGGGAUGAGCCUUGCACUCUUUAUUUGUAUUGUUAGCCGACGCUCUGGAAAGUGCGGCCAUAGCAGGUGAUAGCCCUGUAGGCGAAAACAGUAUGAAAGAACUAGGUGUGCGACAAGUAGGGCGGGACACGUGAAAUCCUGUCUGAAGAUGGGGGGGACCAUCCUCCAAGGCUAAAUACUCGUGAUCGACCCGAUAGUGAACCAGUACCGUGAGGGAAAGGCGAAAAGAACCCCGGGAGGGGAGUGAAAUAGAUCCUGAAACCGCAUGCAUACAAACAGUCGGAGCCUCGUAAGGGGUGACGGCGUACCUUUUGUAAAUGGGUCAGCGACUUACGUUCAGUAGCAAGCUUAACCGUAUAGGGCAGGCGUAGCGAAAGCGAGUCCGAAUAGGGCGUUCAGUUGCUGGGGCGUAGACCCGAAACCAGGUGAUCUAUCCAUGGCCAGGAUGAAGGUGCGGUAACACGUACUGGAGGUCCGAACCCACUAACGUUGAAAAGUUAGGGGAUGAGCUGUGGAUAGGGGUGAAGGCUAAAGCAAACAAACCUGGAAAUAGCUGGUUCUCUCCGAAAACUAUUUAGGUAGUGCCUCGUGUCUCACCUUCGGGGUAGAGCACUGUCAUGGUUGGGGGUCUAUUGCAGAUUACCCCGCCAUAGCAAACUCCGAAUACCGAAGAGUGCAAUCACGGGAGACAGACAUCGGGUGCUAACGUCCGGUGUCAAGAGGGAAACAACCCAGACCGCAGCUAAGGUCCCCAAAUAUAGCUAAGUGGGAAACGAAGUGGGAAGGCUAAAACAGUCAGGAGGUUGGCUUAGAAGCAGCCACCCUUUAAAGAAAGCGUAAUAGCUCACUGAUCGAGUCGUCCUGCGCGGAAGAUGUAACGGGGCUAAGCGUAUAUACCCGAAGCUGCGGAUGCGAGCUUGCUCGCAUGGUAGGAGAGCGUUCCGUAAGCCUGCGAAGGUGCCUUGUAAAGGGUGCUGGGAGGUAUCGGAAGUGCGAAUGCUGACAUGAGUAGCGAUAAAGGGGGUGAAAGGCCCCUCGCCGUAAGCCCAAGGUUUCCUACGCAACGUUCAUCGGCGUAGGGUGAGUCGGCCCCUAAGGCGAGGCAGAAAUGCGUAGCUGAUGGGAAGCAGGUCAAUAUUCCUGCACAUUGUUAGAUGCGAUGGGGGGACGGAUCGCGGAAGGUUGUCCGGGUGUUGGAAGUCCCGGUCGCUGCAUUGGAGAAGGCGCUUAGGCAAAUCCGGGCGCAGAUUCAAGGGUGUGGCGCGAGCUCCUUAGGGAGCGAAGCAAUUGGAAGUGGUUCCAAGAAAAGCCUCUAAGCUUCAGUCUAACGAUGACCGUACCGCAAACCGACACAGGUGGGCGAGAUGAGUAUUCUAAGGCGCUUGAGAGAACUCGGGAGAAGGAACUCGGCAAAUUGGUACCGUAACUUCGGGAUAAGGUACGCCCUUGUAGCUUGACUGGCCUGCGCCAGGAGGGUGAAGGGGUUGCAAUAAACUGGUGGCUGCGACUGUUUAAUAAAAACACAGCACUCUGCAAACACGAAAGUGGACGUAUAGGGUGUGACGCCUGCCCGGUGCCGGAAGAUUAAAUGAUGGGGUGCAAGCUCUUGAUUGAAGUCCCGGUAAACGGCGGCCGUAACUAUAACGGUCCUAAGGUAGCGAAAUUCCUUGUCGGGUAAGUUCCGACCUGCACGAAUGGCGUAACGAUGGCCACACUGUCUCCUCCCGAGACUCAGCGAAGUUGAAGUGUUUGUGAUGAUGCAAUCUACCCGCGGCUAGACGGAAAGACCCCAUGAACCUUUACUGUAGCUUUGCAUUGGACUUUGAACCGAUCUGUGUAGGAUAGGUGGGAGGCUAUGAAACCGGAACGCUAGUUUCGGUGGAGCCGUCCUUGAAAUACCACCCUGGUUUGUUUGAGGUUCUAACCUUGGCCCGUGAUCCGGGUCGGGGACAGUGCAUGGUAGGCAGUUUGACUGGGGCGGUCUCCUCCCAAAGCGUAACGGAGGAGUACGAAGGUACGCUAGGUACGGUCGGAAAUCGUGCUGAUAGUGCAAUGGCAUAAGCGUGCUUAACUGCGAGACCGACAAGUCGAGCAGGUGCGAAAGCAGGUCAUAGUGAUCCGGUGGUUCUGUAUGGAAGGGCCAUCGCUCAACGGAUAAAAGGUACUCUGGGGAUAACAGGCUGAUACCGCCCAAGAGUUCAUAUCGACGGCGGUGUUUGGCACCUCGAUGUCGGCUCAUCUCAUCCUGGGGCUGUAGCCGGUCCCAAGGGUAUGGCUGUUCGCCAUUUAAAGAGGUACGUGAGCUGGGUUUAAAACGUCGUGAGACAGUUUGGUCCCUAUCUGCCGUGGGCGUUGGAUAUUUGAAGGGGGCUGCUCCUAGUACGAGAGGACCGGAGUGGACGAACCUCUGGUGUACCGGUUGUCACGCCAGUGGCAUCGCCGGGUAGCUAUGUUCGGAAGA
rnacentral:rRNA from 1 species